GCAGUGCGAUUCUAUAAAACCUUCACCUAGACAUCGCAACUAAAUCCGCGAUGAGUUUUUAGAUUUGCAUUCUAUAAACUCGAUCGUCGCCACGAAUUUACUCUAGCGCUACGCUUGUCGGCGCGGCAGCGGGUUGAACUAAUUGAUCGUGAGAUUUUGUAUGGGAUGACGUUUUGAGUGGCAUUCUGUAAGGAAAUUCCAGCCUCAUUCCGAAACACACUUCGCACUCGAAUGCGCUCCAAAAUGUCAAAUAAAAAGUUAGUAUUUUGUGAGUGAGAAUAGACGGAGUUUUAGAAAAUUGCAUUAAAAUUACUUUUAUUAGUGUUCAAAUGUGUUAAAAAUAAGUUUUGUGAUAUUUAUUUGAACUUAAUUAUGCAUAUUAGGGAUGACACGAAUGUUUUUAUUAAAGGCAAAAUGGAUUUCAACUCGAGUAAAGAUAACAGAUAAAAGAUCUAAAUAAGUCAAAUGCGGAUCCAACUUAAUAUGGUGGAAUGGUGGUGCUAUGCAAGUCUGAUUUAUUUUUAAUCACUGUAUUUACCUACCUAUAGUAAAAAAACCACUUAAGAGAUGUACAAAGGCUGGUGAUGAAGUGGUUUUGCUUGGUGAGUCACUACUACUUAGGAUGUGAGGCAAUUUUAAUUUUUGUAAUGUGUGAUUGAUGCUUGUGUUCUUUUUUUUAGGUGAUUUAGGAUAUGCUCCAUGCGCCUGCCUAAUGACACCAGUGAGUGGUACCUACCGAAUAUAAUUCCCCAGAAGCAGUCAUAUUCUGCAAACUAUAAAUCAAACAUUUUACAUCUCCAU